rnacentral:rRNA from 1 species
UACAUGUGGGGCAAGCGUUGUUCGGAAUUACUGGGCCUAAAGGGUGCGUAGGCGGCUUGUUAAGUCAGGGGUGAAAGUUUUCGGCCCAACCGGAAAAUUGCCUUUGAUACUGGCGAGCUGGAGUGCGUGAGGGGUGACCGGAACGAGUGGUGUAGCGGUGAAAUGCGUAGAUAUCACUCGGAAGGCCAACGGCGAAGGCAGGUCACUGGUGCGCAACUGACGCUGAGGCACGAAAGCGUGGGGAGCAAACAGG